rnacentral:rRNA from 1 species
AGUGAACGCUGGCGGCGUGCUUAACACAUGCAAGUCGAACGAGAACGGGUUAAAGCUUGCUUUAACUGUCAGCUAAGUGGCGCACGGGUGAGUAAUAUAUAGGUAACAUGCCUUCGAGAAGGGGAUAACGUCUGGAAACGAACGCUAAUACCCUAUAUGCCUUUAAGUCUUAAGACUGCAAGGGAAAUAUUUAUAGCUCGAAGAUUGGCCUGUACAGUAUCAGUUAGUUGGUGAGGUAAUGGCUCACCAAGACAAUGACGCUUAACUGGUUUGAGAGGAUGAUCAGUCACACUGGAACUGAGACACGGUCCAGACUCCUACGGGAGGCAGCAGUGGGGAAUAUUGCACAAUGGACGAAAGUCUGAUGCAGCAACGCCGCGUGGAGGAUGACACAUUUCGGUGCGUAAACUCCUUUUAUAUAGGAAGAUAAUGACGGUACUAUAUGAAUAAGCACCGGCUAACUCCGUGCCAGCAGCCGCGGUAAUACGGAGGGUGCAAGCGUUACUCGGAAUCACUGGGCGUAAAGAGAAUGUAGGCGGAUAGAUAAGUUUGAAGUGAAAUCCAAUGGCUCAACCAUUGAACUGCUUUGAAAACUGUUUAUCUAGAAUAUGGGAGAGGUAGAUGGAAUUUCUGGUGUAGGGGUAAAAUCCGUAGAGAUCAGAAGGAAUACCGAUUGCGAAGGCGAUCUACUGGAACAUUAUUGACGCUGAGAUUCGAAAGCGUGGGGAGCAAACAGG